rnacentral:rRNA from 1 species
UACGUAGGUGGCAAGCGUUAUCCAGAUUUAUUGGGCGUAAAGGGAACGCAGGCGGUCUUUUAAGUCUGAUGUGAAAGCCUUCGGCUUAACCGGAGUAGUGCAUUGGAAACUGGGAGACUUGAGUGCAGAAGAGGAGAGUGGAACUCCAUGUGUAGCGGUGAAAUGCGUAGAUAUAUGGAAGAACACCAGUGGCGAAAGCGGCUCUCUGGUCUGUAACUGACGCUGAGGUUCGAAAGCGUGGGUGGCAAACAGG